rnacentral:sRNA from 1 species
UCAAMCAGGAUUAGAUACCCUGGUWGYCCACACUGUAAACGAUGAUAACUCGCUGUCGGCGAUACAUAGUCGGUGGCCAAGCGAAAGCGAUAAKUUAUCCACCUGGGGAGUACGACCGCAAGGUUGAAACUCAAAGGAAUUGACGGGGGCCCGCMCAAGCGGAGGAACAUGUGGUUUAAUUCGAUGAUACGCGAGGAACCUUACCCGGGCUCGAACGGUGCAUGAAUGAUUCAGAGAUGGAUCAGUCCUUCGGGACAUGUAUCGAGGUGCUGCAUGGUUGUCGUCAGCUCGUGCCCGUGAGGUGUCGGCUUAAGUGCCAUAACGAGCGCAACCCUUGUCGUUAGUUACCAUCAAGUAAUGUUGGGGACUCUAGCGAGACUGCCACCGUAAGGUGUGAGGAAGGGGGGGGAUGACGUCAAAUCAGCACGGCCCUUACGUCCGGGGGCGACACACGUGUUACAAUGGUAGGUACAGAGGGCAGCUACCCAGUGAUGGGGUGCGAAUCUCAAAAACCUAUCUCAGUUCGGAUUGGAGUCUGCAACUCGACUCCAUGAAGUUGGAUUCGCUAGUAAUCGCGCAUCAGCCAUGGCGCGGUGAAUACGUUCCCGGGCCUUGUACACACCGCCCGUCAAGCCAUGGAAGCCGGGGGUGCCUGAAGUUCGUGACCGCAAAGAGCGACCUAGGSMAAAWMUGGUAACUGGGGCUWAGUCGUAACAAGGUAGCCGUACCGGAAGGUGUGGCUGGAACACCUCCUUUUUGGAGCUGUACUGUUACAAUUAUUCUCUACUCUGUCUUCCAUUUUUUAUAUAUGACAGCUGUCAUUACAUUUCUGCCACGGCAGAGAGGGUAGUCACGAGGUUCAAGUCCUUGGAACAGCGCGAAACUGCAAAGUUUUAAAGUUCAUUGACAUUUUGAGAGAGAUAAAGAGGUAAAGAAAAUAAAAAAUAAAUAAGAUUGGGUCUGUUAAUUUUAAAUUAAGGGACUACAAUUUCGAGCAUAAGAGAAGUUACUUAAGGGCGAACGGAGGAUGCCUAGGCUUCUAUGGGCGAAGAAGGACGUGGUAAGCUGCGAAAAGCCGCGGGGAUUUGCAAA